GGAGUAGGGGCCUGAGGGCACACAGUGUGUUGUAGAUAUGUGGUAGUGGUGGAGUAGGGGCCUGAGGGCACACAGUGUGUUGUAGAUGUGUGGUAGUGGUGGAGUAGGGGUCUGAGGGCACACAGUGUGUUGUAGAUAUGUGGUAGUGGUGGAGUAGGGGCCUGAGGGAACACAGUGUGUUGUAGAUAUGUGGUAGUGGUGGAGUAGGGGCCUGAGGGCACACAGUGUGUUGUAGAUAUGUGGUAGUGGUGGAGUAGGGGCCUGAGGACAAACAGUGUGUUGUAGAUGUGUGGUAGUGGUGGAGUAGGGGUCUGAGGGCACACAGUGUGUUGUAGAUAUGUGAAAGUGGUGGAGUAGGGGUCUGAGGGCACACAGUGUGUUGUAGAUAUGUGGUAGUGGUGGAGUAGGGGCCUGAGGGAACACAGUGUGUUGUAGAUAUGUGGUAGUGGUGGAGUAGGGGCCUGAGGGCACACAGUGUGUUGUAGAUAUGUGGUAGUGGUGGAGUAGGGGCCUGAGGGCAAACAGUGUGUUGUAGAUGUGUGGUAGUGGUGGAGUAGGGGUCUGAGGGCACACAGUGUGUUGUAGAUAUGUGGUAGUGGUGGAGUAGGGGCCUGAGGGCACACAGUGUGUUGUAGAUGUGUGGUAGUGGUGGAGUAGGGGUCUGAGGGCACACAGUGUGUUGUAGAUGUGUGGUAGUGGUGGAGUAGGGGCCUGAGGGCACACAGUGUGUUGUAGAUAUGUGGUAGUGGUGGAGUAGGGGCCUGAGGGCACACAGUGUGUUGUAGAUAUGUGGUAGUGGUGGAGUAGGGGUCUGAGGGCACACAGUGUACUGUAGAUAUGUGGUAGUGGUGGAGUAGGGGCCUGAGGGCACACAGUGUGUUGUAGAUAUGUGGUAGUGGUGAAGUAGGGGCCUGAGGGCACACAGUGUGUUGUAGAUAUGUGGUAGUGGUGGAGUAGGGGCCUGAGGACACACAGUGUGUUGUAGAUAUGUGGUAGUGGUGGAGUAGGGGUCUGAGGGCACACAGUGUGUUGUAGAUGUGUGGUAGUGGUGGAGUAGGGGCCUGAGGGCACACAGUGUGUUGUAGAUAUGUGGUAGUGGUGGAGUAGGGGCCUGAGGGCACACAGUGUGUUGUAGAUAUGUGGUAGUGGUGGAGUAGGGGUCUGAGGGCACACAGUGUGUUGUAGAUAUGUGGUAGUGGUGGAGUAGGGGCCUGAGGGCACACAGUGUACUGUAGAUAUGUGGUAGUGGUGGAGUAGGGGCCUGAGGGCACACAGUGUGUUGUGAAAUCUGUGAAUGUAUUGUAAUGUUUUAAAAUGGUAUAAACUGCCUUCAUUUUGCUGGACC
ensembl:lncRNA